rnacentral:rRNA from 1 species
AUUGAACGCUGGCGGCAGGCCUAACACAUGCAAGUCGAGCGAGCGGCGGACGGGUGAGUAAUGUAUGGGGCAUGCCCGAUAGAGGGGGAUAACUACUGGAAACGGUGGCUAAUACCGCCUCCUCUCGGAUAACCCAUAUGGGAUUAGCUAGUAGGUGGGGUAAAGGCUCACCUAGGCGACGAUCUCUAGCUGGUCUGAGAGAAUGAUCAGCCACCCUGUGACGGAGACACGGCCCAGACUCCUACGGACACGUCAGUGUGGAAGAUUGCACAAUGAGCUAAAGCCUGAUGCAGCCGUGCCGCGUGUAUGAAGAAGGCCGUAGGGUUUUAAAGUACUUUCAGCGGGUAGGCGUUACCCGCAGAAUAAGCACCGGCUAACUCCGUGCCAGCAGCCGCGGUAAUAC